rnacentral:lncRNA from 1 species
UUUGCAACUACGUGUCCCAGACUGCAUCCCUGCUGAGAGUCCCUCCCUCCCUUCUCAUAUUGCAGGAAGAACGCAAGUUCCCGCCCCUUGUCAAUCAGUCACCAUAUAAUUUUGGAUUGGUUGUUGUGGUGAAGUUUUCCACCAAUAGGAGAGAUGUUGUGGUGUGUUUUUUUUUUUCCUUUGGCAAGCCUUUUCCGCCUGUAAGACCUGUCGCUAAUGUCUGCAUGCUAUGUUUUCCUGUCUCAUACAGCGCGAUCGAGCGCCGAACGUGAUCAAAAUAAGCAGAAAACAAGAAUCGUGGACAUAAUUUAUCAUAACUCUGGUUUUAUUUGGCCUAUCAACACAAUUUAAAAACUGGUAUAUAGGUUGAGGUCCUCACUUUUGAGAUAAAUUGAAACGGAGAGUCAACGAGGCUCCGUCUUGCAGCUACAUCCGGUUAAAUAUGUCAUGUGACUUGAACGCACACACACACACACACACACACACACACACACACACACACACAGACACACACACACGCACACACACACACACACACUCAGAGUCUGGUUUUUAGCACCUGCAAAAACAUGCUAUUUACAUAUCUGACAAGAAUGCAGAGGCUCCUUUUGCCCCUGAAAAAAAUCAAAUUUCAAACACAACUUGACUGGUCAUUUCUCCAAAAGACAACCAUGAAGCUCCAUCCAAACCUGAAGCAGGCAGUUGGUGCAUGUGUACAGUAACCUGAGGGGAGUGAGGUGACUGCUUCUGAGGAGAACAUGAGCAGUGAAGAUUCACCUUAGAGCUAGAACAGAGACGUGCACAUGAUUAUACAGGGGCAGGGGCUCAAGUUUUUUCCAGUCGUUUAUACAAUAUGGAAUUUAAUGUGAAAUUAAAAAACAAAGUAUUAAUAGAAAGGUAAUGACUGUCCUGUGUAGGUGACAGUGAUAUCCAAUAGGCUAGGCACUCACGAGGCUGGCUGUGGCAAGUGUAAGUGAAAGCAACAUGCACUGGCAGGAAGAACAGCAAACGCCGAUGAAGGAAAAGGGUCUUUGCAGUGAUGGGCGUUACCAGAGAGGGCGAUGGCCAGAGGACACAAAUGGGACGGGGAGGCAGCGCGUUGGGGGGGGGACGCGACACAGCUCGGGCCCGCCAGUGCCCCAACGGGGUCCUAGUAACUUUUUAUUUUUGCCCUCACUGGCCUCCAAGUUUUCUAGGAUGAUGCAAUGUCCAGCCAUCAACACAUUUGUGAAGGAAUUUUUACUCCCGAAAAGAGCGCCCCCCCAUGGCAGGAGAAAAAAGGCCAUUUUUUCUUGUCCCAUAAGGUGAAAAUACACAUUGUUGAGUGUCACGCCUGUAUGCUUUGUCAUAUUGAAACAAAAUUUGAUAAUCACGUGAAUCUCAAUAAGAUCUACGAAAAAGUCAAUGCGCACGUGUCUGCAAAAUGUACGGUUAAAGGGCUAUUUCGCAUUUUUGGUUGAUUCGCACACAUUGGAAUGUGGCUAACUCCUCCUAAAGCUUUCGUUCCACCGGCACCAAAUUUGCCCAGGCCAAUCUACACCCCAUGGCCAUUAAAAGUUGUACAAAUCAUGAUGCUGCACCCCACGGUUUACGUUCUAGGGGUCGCCAAAGAUAACCCAAAAUCCACAUUCUUAAAAGUCUUAUAACUUUUCAUUUUUGUCCUCACUGGCUUCAAAGUUUUCUAGGAUGAUGCAAUGUCUAGCCAUCAACACAUUUGUGAAGGAAUUUUUUCUCCCUAAAAGAGUGCCCCCCCAUGGCAGGAGAAAAAGUCAAGUUUUUCCUGCCCAUCGCUCAAUGGCUCAAACACAUCGCUCUCUCGGAAAAAAACGAAAGGAGGAGCAACUUGCCAUUUGGAUAUAUCCUAGCUGUGUUUGUGCCCUCACUCAUGGUCCAGACUUUUUUCAAAUAGGACAUGUAGUUUGUCUGCAGCGAGUGUUUUGGUAGAAACUGCGCCUCCCAUUCAUUAUAAUGGUAAAUGACCACAGACAAGUGCGCACACCAUCGUUGAACCUUGAGUGUGACGCGAUCGGGAGGGAGAGGCGGUCGUGUUGGGGGCGGCGUGACACAGCUCGGGCCCGCCAGUGCCCCAACGGGGCCCUAGUUAGGGCCCGAGCGUAGCUGCUAAGCAGCUGCGAGAGCCCUCUUGUUCCUGUAGUUUCCUUCUUUAGGGCCCGAGCCAGCUGCAGAGCAGCCGGGCGUAGGCCCUAUUAUUCCCCAAGUGGUUUUUCUUUGUUUCUUUCUUUCUUUUUAGGGCCCGAGCGUAGCUGCUAAGCAGCUGCGAGAGCCCUAUUAUUCCCCAAGUGGUUUUUCUUUGUUUCUUUAGGGCCCGAGCGUAGCUGCUAAGCAGCUGCGAGAGCCCUCUUGUUCCUGUAGUUUCCUUCUUUUGUUAUUAGGGCCCGAGCGUAGCUGCUAAGCAGCUGCGAGAGCCCUAUUAUUCCCCAAGUGGUUUUUCUUUGUUUCUUUUUUCUUUUUCCUCCCCUUUGAACUGGAAAAUGGCCCACUUCCCACUGGCGAAAACUCAUGAAAUUUGGCAGGACGACCGGGCCUGGUGAAAAAUUUGAUAUUCCGAAGUCGCCCAAACAAGAAAAUGCAAAAUGGCUCCAUAGCGCCCCCUAAGGUGAAAAUCCACACUAUUGACUGUCACGCCUGUACGCUUUGUCAAAAUGACACAAAAAUUGACACACACAUGUAUCUCAAUAAGAUCUACAAAAAAGUCAGUGCGGGCGUAUCUGUCAAAUGUACGGUUAAAGGGCUAUUUCGCAUUUUUUGCCGAUCCGCACACAUUGGAAUUUCGCUAACUCCUCCGAAGGCUUUCGUUCCACCGGCACCACAUUUGCUCAGGCCAAUCUACACCCCAUGGCCAUUAAAAGUUAUUCAAAUCAUGACGCUGCACCCCACGGUUUAGGUUCUAGGGGGCGCCAAAGAUAACCCUAAAAUCCACAUAUUUAAAAGUCUUAUAACUUUUUAUUUUUGCCCUCACUGGCCUCCAAGUUUUCUAGGAUGAUGCAAUGUCCAGCCAUCAACACAUUUGUGAAGGAAUUUUUACUCCCCAAAAGAGCGCCCCCCCAUGGCAGGAGAAAAAAGUCCAUUUUUUCUUGUCCCCUAAGGUGAAAAUACACAUUGUUGAGUGUCACGCCUGUACGCUUUGUCAAAAUGACACAAAAAUUGACACACACAUGUAUCUCAAUAAGAUCUACAAAAAAGUCCAUGCGCGCGUAUCUGUCAAAUGUACGGUUAAAGGGUUGUUCGGCAUUUUUUGCCGAUUCGCACAAAUUGGAAUUUCGCUAACUCCUCCGAAGGCUUUCGUUCCACCGGCACCACAUUUGAUCAGGCCAAUCUGCACCCCAUGGCCAUUAAAAGUUAUUCAAAUCAUGACGCUGCACCCCACGGUUUACGUUCUAGGGGGCGCCAAAGAUAACCCAAAAAUCCACAUUUUUAAAAGUCUUAUAACUUUUUAUUUUUGUCCUCACUGGCCUCCAAGUUUUCUAGGAUGAUGCAAUGUCCAGCCAUCAACACAUUUGUGAAGGAAUUUUUACUCCCCAAAAGAGCGCCCCCCCAUGGCAGGAGAAAAAAGUCCAUUUUUUCUUGUCCCCUAAGGUGAAAAUACACAUUGUUGACUGUCACGCCUGUACGCUUUGUCAAAAUGACACAAAAAUUGACACACACAUGUAUCUCAAUAAGAUCUACAAAAAAGUCAGUGCGGGCGUAUCUGUCAAAUGUACGGUUAAAGGGCUAUUUCGCAUUUUUUGCCGAUCCGCACACAUUGGAAUUUCGCUAACUCCUCCGAAGGCUUUCGUUCCACCGGCACCACAUUUGCUCAGGCCAAUCUACACCCCAUGGCCAUUAAAAGUUAUUCAAAUCAUGACGCUGCACCCCACGGUUUAGGUUCUAGGGGGCGCCAAAGAUAACCCUAAAAUCCACAUAUUUAAAAGUCUUAUAACUUUUUAUUUUUGCCCUCACUGGCCUCCAAGUUUUCUAGGAUGAUGCAAUGUCCAGCCAUCAACACAUUUGUGAAGGAAUUUUUACUCCCCAAAAGAGCGCCCCCCCAUGGCAGGAGAAAAAGUCCAUUUUUUCUUGUCCCCUAAGGUGAAAAUACACAUUGUUGAGUGUCACGCCUGUACGCUUUGUCAAAAUGACACAAAAAUUGACACACACAUGUAUCUCAAUAAGAUCUACAAAAAAGUCCAUGCGCGCGUAUCUGUCAAAUGUACGGUUAAAGGGUUGUUCGGCAUUUUUUGCCGAUUCGCACAAAUUGGAAUUUCGCUAACUCCUCCGAAGGCUUUCGUUCCACCGGCACCACAUUUGAUCAGGCCAAUCUGCACCCCA